UUGAACGCUGGCGGCAGGCUUAACACAUGCAAGUCGAGCGGUAACAGCGAGAAGCUUGCUUCUCUGCUGACGAGCGGCGGACGGGUGAGUAAUGCCUAGGAAUCUGCCUAGUAGUGGGGGAUAACUUGCCGAAAGGUAAGCUAAUACCGCAUACGUCCUACGGGAGAAAGGAGGGGACCUUCGGGCCUUUCGCUAUUAGAUGAGCCUAGGUCGGAUUAGUUAGUUGGUGAGGUAAUGGCUCACCAAGACCGCGAUCCGUAACUGGUCUGAGAGGAUGAUCAGUCACACUGGAACUGAGACACGGUCCAGACUCCUACGGGAGGCAGCAGUGGGGAAUAUUGGACAAUGGGGGGGAACCCUGAUCCAGCCAUGCCGCGUGUGUGAAGAAGGUCUUAGGAUUGUAAAGCACUUUAAGUUGGGAGGAAGAGCAGUUAACUAAUAUUUGACUGUUUUGACGUUACCGACAGAAUAAGCACCGGCUAACUUCGUG
rnacentral:rRNA from 1 species